rnacentral:rRNA from 1 species
GACGUAGGGCGCGAGCGUUGUCCGGAUUUAUUGGGCGUAAAGAGCUCGUAGGCGGCUUGUUGCGUCGUCCGUGAAAACCCGCAGCUCAACUGCGGGCUUGCGGACGAUACGGGCAGGCUGGAGUUCGGUAGGGGAGACUGGAAUUCCUGGUGUAGCGGUGGAAUGCGCAGAUAUCAGGAGGAACACCGGUGGCGAAGGCGGGUCUCUGGGCAGUAACUGACGCUGAGGAGCGAAAGCGUGGGGAGCGAACAGG